rnacentral:misc_RNA from 1 species
GUAGGUGAACCUGCGGAAGGAUCAUUACAGUGUUCAGGCUUCGGCCUCAUUCACACCCCUUGUUGAACCUCUGGUUUCUUUGGCGAUGUCAUGGACUCGUCAAACUUUAAACUCUGAAAAUGCGAUACUGUCCGAGUGAGAUUGAAUUAUCAAAACUUUCAACAACGGAUCUCUUGGUUCCA